rnacentral:rRNA from 1 species
GACGAACGCUGGCGGCGUGCUUAACACAUGCAAGUCGAACGGAAAGGCCCUGCUUUUGUGGGGUGCUCGAGUGGCGAACGGGUGAGUAACACGUGAGUAACCUGCCCUUGUCUUUGGGAUAACUUCAGGAAACUGGGGCUAAUACCGGAUAGGAGCUCCUGCUGCAUGGUGGGGGUUGGAAAGUUUCGGCGGUUGGGGAUGGACUCGCGGCUUAUCAGCUUGUUGGUGGGGUAGUGGCUUACCAAGGCUUUGACGGGUAGCCGGCCUGAGAGGGUGACCGGCCACAUUGGGACUGAGAUACGGCCCAGACUCCUACGGGAGGCAGCAGUGGGAAAUAUUGCACAAUGGGCGGAAGCCUGAUGCAGCAGCGCCGCGUGCGGGAUGACGGCCUACUGGUUGUAAACCGCUUUCGCCGGUGACGAAGCGUGAGUGACGGUAAUGAGUAAAGAAGCACCGGCUAACUACGUG